rnacentral:rRNA from 1 species
CCUACGGGCGGCAGCAGUGGGGGAUAUUGCACAAUGGGGGAAACCCUGAUGCCGCGACGCCGCGUGGGUGAAGAAGCGCCUCGGCGCGUAAAGCCCUGUCAGCAGGGAAGAAAAUGACGGUACCUGAAGAAGAAGCCCCGGCUAACUACGUGCCAGCAGCCGCGGGAAUACGUAGGGGGCAAGCGUUAUCCGGAUUUACUGGGUGUAAAGGGGGCGCAGACGGCGAUGCAAGCCAGUAUUGAAAGCCCGGGGCCCAACCCCGGGACUGCUCUUGGAACUGCGUGGGUAGAGUGAAGGAGGGGCAGGCGGAAUUCCUGGUGUAGCGGUGAAAUGCGUAGAUAUCAGGAGGAACACCGGUGGCGAAGGCGGCCUGCUGGACUGCAACUGACGUUGAGGCCCGAAAGCGUGGGGAGCAAACAGGAUUAGAUACCCCAGUAGUC